UACGGAGGGUGCGAGCGUUGUCCGGAAUCAUUGGGCGUAAAGGGCGCGUAGGCGGCCUCCUAAGUCGGACGUGAAAGCCCCAGGCUUAACCUGGGAACUGCGUCCGAUACUGGGAGGCUUGGAUUCGGGAGAGGGAUGUGGAAUUCCGGGUGUAGCGGUGAAAUGCGUAGAUAUCUGGAGGAACACCGGUGGCGAAGGCGGCAUCCUGGACCGAGAUCGACGCUGAGGCGCGAAAGCUAGGGGAGCAAACGGG
rnacentral:rRNA from 1 species